UUCGUGCCCCACGCCUGCCGGGAACGCGGCUCACUAAGGUCCGAGGCUCCUGGGAACUACAUUACCCAGAUAUCCCUGCGUCGUGCAUCUGCAAGUGCUGGGCCAAUGAAGGCCCUGGACAGACGCCUUUCUGAGAGGGGGGAAUCCCCCAGACGGGACUUCCGGCUUCUCUUGGCAGUGGUCCUUUUUAUCACUCUUGAGCCUGGCCGUUUGAUCCGAUUCUUAAAUAAUUGUUGGAGCCCAAGAUAAAGUGAGCGGGAGGCAUGAAAGUAAAUGUGUCCCCACCGACAGAGGCGGUGCUGAGACUUGGAGACAGAGCACGAGCAGGGAAGGAGCAGAGAGAAAGGGAGUCAGAAUCUGAAGCAGGCUCCAGGCUCCAAGCUGUCAGCACAGAGCCCGAUGCAGGGCUCAAACUCACCACCCGCGAGAUCAUGACGAAGUCAGAUGCUUAACUGAUGGAGCCACCCAGGUGCCCCGAGCAAGGGAACCAUGGCUGCAGAAAUGUUUGUGGAUCAUGCACAGUAGGAAUAAUUUUCAGAGGGAAUAUCAGGAGUUUGGUUCAAACCUGUUGAGUGUGAGAAGUUCCGGAGACUUCUGAGUGGAGGCAUUGAAUGGACGGCAAGAUGCCCAUGUCUGGAUUUGAGGACUGCUCCAUCCAACAACAGAAUACACUUUCUUUUCAAGUACCCAAGAGAUGUUCACCAAGAUCACCAUAUUCUAGGAACUAAAAUCUCAACAAAUUUAAAAUGAUUAAAAUCAUGAAUGUAUUUCUCUGGUCACAAAGAAAUUAUACUAGAAAUCAUUAAAGUACAUGAUCUGGGAAAAUCCAUGAACAUUUGGAAAUUAGACAACAUAUUAAUGAAGACUCAGACACAGAAUAAUAAGGCAAAUUAAGAAAUACUUUUAACUGAAUGAAAAUGAAAAUCCAAUAUAGAAUUGAUACAUCUGCAAGUACAAAUAGAUGAAUCCACUAUUAUAGUUGAAGACUCAACACCCCUCUACAAAAAAAAUGAACAGAUCUAAUGGGCAGAAAAUCAAUGAGGACAUAACUGAGCUUAAGAGCACCAUCAGUUAUUUAUUCUGGUAUACAUAGCAUCUAUAGAAUAUGUCAUCCAACAGUAGUAGAAUACACAUUCUUCUCAAAUGUGGAAUAUUCACCAAAGAGACUACAUUCUGAGUCAUAAAACACAAUUUAAACUUAAAAGAAUAGAAAUCAUGUAACAUGUUUUCAGACUACCAUGGAAUUAAACUAGAAAAGAUAGCUAGAAAAUCUCAGAAUAUGUGGAGAUUAAACAACACAUUUCUAAACAAUGCGUGGAUCGAAGAGGAACUUUCAAGAGAAAUUUUAAAAUAUUUUGAAAUAAAUGAAAUGAAAAUAUAAUCUACCUAAAUUUGUGGGAUGAAGAAAAAUCUAAAAUCAGUCAUCUAAACCAGAAACUUUAGCAAUUGAAGAAAGAAAGGAAAAUUAAAUCCAAAGUAAGAAGAAAAGAAAUAAUAAGAGGGUAGAAGUCAAUGAAAUUGAAAGCAGGAAAUCAACAGAUAAAAUCAACAAAACCAAAAACUAAUUAUUUGAAAUAUCAACAAAAUCAAUAAGCUUCUAACUGGGCUAGUUCAAAAGAGAGAAGACACAAAUUACUAAUAUCAGAAAUGAAAGAGUUCACAGCACUACAGACUCCAUGGAUACUAAAAGGAUAAUAAAAGAAUAUUAUAAACCACUCUAUGCCCACAAAUUUAAUAACUUAGAUGAAAUGAACCGAUUCCUUAAAAGACACAGUCUGCCAAAAUUCACGCAAGAAAAAACAAACUGAAUAGGCUUUUUAUGUCUAUUAAAGAGUUUGAAUCAAUAUUUAAUAAUCUUCCAAAACAGAAAGUACCAGCCCCAAGUAGUUUCACUGGUGAGUUCUACCAAAUAUUUAAGAAGUUAUAUCAUUUCUCUACAAUCUCAUUCAGAGGAUAAAGGCAGAAGGGAUACUUUCUAAUUCAUUCUAUGAGGCCACCAUUGCCCUAAUACCAAUGUUAGACAAAGACAUUACAAGAAAAAAACUACAGAUCAAUAUCUCCCAUGAACAUAAGUACAAAAAUCAACAAAAUAUUAGCAAAUCAAAUCCAACAAGGUAUGAGAAGUUCUACACCUCAGCCAAGUGGGAUUUGUUCCAAGGAUGCAGACUGACAUUGGAAAGUCAAUUAAUGUCAUCCAUCACAUCAACAGACUAAAGGAUAAAAAUCGCAUGAUCAUAUCAAUAGAUGCAUAAAGAGCAUAUGACAAAAAUCUAGCAUUCAUUCAUUAUUUAAAAAAACCUCAGCAAAGUAGAAAUAGAGGAGAGCUUUCUCAGCUUUAUAUAGAACAACUUCAAAAACACUACAAAUAACAUCAUACUUAAUGGUGAGCAGCUAGGAGCUUUCCUGCUAAGAUCAGAAACAAGGUAAGAAUAUGCUUUCUCAUCAUUCCUUUUCAGCAUAGUAUGGGAAGUCCUAACUCAGGCAAUAAGGGAAGAAAAGGAAAUAGAAAUAUUUAGGCUGGGAAGGAAGAAAUGAAAAUCUUUGUUUGUAGGUGACUAUAUUGUCUGUAUAGAAAAUCCUAAAUAAUCAAGAAAAAAAGAACUCCUGGAAUUAAUAAGUGAUUAUAGCAAAGUUUCAGAAUAUAAGUUAAUAUUCAAAAGUGUUAACUGCUUUUGUAUAUACCAGCAAUGAACAAUUGGAAUUUAAAAUUAAAAAUAAUACCAUUUAUAUUAGCUUCCCCCAAAAUGAAAUACUUGAGUGUAAAUGUAACUAUAUAUAUAUAGAUAUAUAUAAGAUGUUUGUGAGUAAAACUACAGAACCAAUGAAUGGAAUUAAAGAACUAAAUAAAUGUAGAGAUACUCCAUGUUCAUGGAUAGGAAGAUUCAGUAUAGUCAAGAUGUCAGUUCUUCCCAACUUGAUCUAUAGAUGAAAUGCAAUCACAGUGUAAAUCCUAGCAAGUCAUUUUGUGGAUAUUGGCAAACUGAUCCUUAAGUUUAAGUUUGUAUGAAGAGGCAAAGGAUCUGGGAUACCCAGCAUAAUAUUGAAGGAGAACAGAGGACUGACAAUACGUAGUAUAAAGCUAUAGUAAUCGAGACAGUAGGGUAUUGGUGAAAAAAUAGACAGAUAAAUGGAACAGAAAAGAAAGCCCAGAAGUAGACCCACAUAAAUAUCAUCAACUGAUUUUUGGCAAAGCAGCAAAGGUAAUUCAGUGGGAAAAAGAUAGUCUUUUCCAUAGUUGCUGCUGGACAAUUGAACAUCCACAUCUAAAAAAAAAGUAAUCUGGACACAGACCUUAUACCCUUCACAAAAAUUAACUCAGAAUGGUCACAAACCUCAAUGUAGGAAACCAAACCAAAAAAAAAAAAAAACCCACAAAAACUCCUAGAAGAUGGAGAAUUAAAGUGACCUUGGGUUUGGUGAUGAUUAUUUAUUUAUUUAUUUAUUUAUUUUUAUUUAUUUAAAAAAAUUUUUUUUACAUUUACUUAUUUUUGAUAGAGACAGAGCACAAGUGGGGGCGGGGCAGAGAGAGAAGGAGACACAGAAUCCGAAGCAGGCUCCAGGCUCUGAGCUGUCAGCACAGAGCCCGACGAGGGGCUCUAACUCACAAACCGCAGAUCACGACCUGAGCCGAAGUCGGACGUUUAACCGACUGAGCCACCCAGGUGCCCCUGGUGAUGACUUUUUUUUUUUUUUGAUAACAUCAAAUGCACAGUUUGUGAAAGAAAACAUCAUUUAAACUUUAUUCAAAUUGAAAACUCAGGAUUUGCAAAACAUGGUGUUAAAAGAAUGGGAAGACAAGCCACAGACUGGGAGAAAAAUCUUUGCAAAACACAUAUAUGAUAAAGGACUGGUAUUAAAAAUAUGGAAAUUUCUUAAAACCCAACAAUAAUAACACAAAAAGCUCAAUUAAAAAGGGUAUGUCAGAAUAGACAUAGUCCCAGAGAAUAUAUACAGAUGGCAAAUAACCUCUGAAAAGAUACUCAACUUCACGUGUUAUUAGGAAAUUACAAGUUAAAAAACAAUGAGAUACCACUACACAACGAUUAGAAUGGCCAAUAUUCAAAACAGAAACACCAAACAAAGGAAGUAUGUGGAACAAGAGGAAUCCUUCAUUGUUGUUGGGAAUGCAAAACAGUACAGUCACUCUGGAGACUGGCAGUUUUUUUUACAAAACUAAAUACACUAUUACCAUACGAUCCAGUUGAUAUUUACCCAAAUGAGUUGAAACAUAUGUCCCCAUACAAUACUUCCCAUGAAUAAUUUCCCAAACCUGGAAGCAAGAAAGAUGCCCUUCAGUAGAUGAGUGGAAAAACAAACUGAUACAACUAUAACAUGGAAUAUUAUUCAGUGAUAAAAAGAAAUGAGCUACCAAGCUACUAAAAGACAUGGAAGAAACCCUUAAUGGAUAUUGCUAAGUGAAGGAAGCCAAUCUAAAAAGCUACACACUGUAUGGUUCCCGCUACAUGACAUUCUAGAAAUGUCUGCCUUCCUGACUCCAGCCUCAGCAACACAAGUGCCUGGAUCCUCUUUAGACUGUCACCACUGCCACUGGCCACUUACAUUGUCCAGACUUUAUCCUAGCACCCCCAACCCUUUGUCCAUGCUUCCCUAAUAUCCUCAUUUUACCUCUUUCUGUAGAAUCCAGGGGGUUAUUCUGUGGCUUACACGCCAGGACACGUUCUCCAAAGGGCCCCCUGCUCCCUAGACCUGUUACACACCAAGACAAGGACUAGAACAUAUCCUCUCUCAAUUGCUGUCAUACCCGAUGGGGACAGGGCCCUGCUUUAAGCUGCUAGUCCCUGGAAAAACAGCAGGAGGAAGCUGACCUGGAACAAUAAAUUGCUGCAGGUUCAUUGCAGCCCCCAUCCUCUCCCAGGAACCCAUAGACUCAUCUGGAAUACUGGCAAGACCUCCUCAGCAACUUCAUUCUGUCCUGCCCCAGAAUACCCACUCCUAUCCCUCCAGAUGGGACGAAUUACCCCUUCCUCCUCUUUUUGCUAUAUUGGAGGGAGCCUUAAGAGAGCUUUUCAGGCAUACCUUUGGAUACUCUUAUGCAGGAGAUUGAGAGGAAUCCACCUUUACUUGCUCACAUCCAAAAGCCACACUCCAAACAAGGUGUCAGGCCCCUUUCCAUAAGUGUCCAAUGAUUUUGCCGUGCAACUUGGUGUCUCUUUCUCCUUGAGGCCUCAUCGGGUUGUAGGACCUUUUCUUUUUAGGAUGCAGCGUACUCAUGUCCUUUGUGUGACUGGAGCCAUCCUGGCCGGGAGCCCUAAAGAAGCCAUUUGCCUGAUACAGGUAGUCUCAGCAAACUGCCCGUCCAGAUGUCUGACUGGAGGUUCCGAUAAAGACUUGCAAAUCUGCCGCCAAGUGCUUAUCCCCUGGGCUAGAGGUUGGGCUCUUUGGGGGGAUACCGCACGGACCACACCUGUGACUUCUGGCUGGGGCUGGAUGUGAAUGCCCUCAGGAUGCAGUUCCUCAACUGAACUUGUUAUAGGGUUGAGAAGGUGGGGAAGACGACAAUCACAGCAGCUAGAGUGUCUGAGCACUUCUGUGGACCAGGACCCACAGGUCACAUGCAUUAUCUACCAAAUUUCAGCCUCUCAGCCACCUUGAGAAAUGGGAGUAAUCCUCAUAGUCUUACAAGUGAGGAAACGGAGGCUCAGGGAGAGAAAGUGUGUGAAGAAAUGUUGAUGGCUCCUGAGGAGCAGAAUCUGCUCCUACCGCCCCCUGUUGGAGAGACGGGCUCAGUGAACUCACUUGUGUCUGUGCAUAUAUUACAGUCCUCUGGGCUCUGAUAUACAUCUAAGAAAUGGGAAAAAGUACCUCCCAUUUCCAUGGCUGUGGUGAGUGCAAAGUAAAAUCAUUGGUACGAAGGGGCUCCUGUCCCAAGCAACUGACACGGAGAAAAAGAACAAAGAUACGGUUCUUGGUUGCAGGAUAAGCGCUGAGCCUGGCCAGGACCAAGAAACUGCCUCUUACAUUUCAGUUUUUUUUCUGUGGUGGACUGAGCUGCCUCCACAUACUCUUACUACAAAGUGGGUCUUAUAUACUGAGCUGGGUUCCUGGGUCCCAGGGCUUCAGAACGCCUCCUGUGGCUCUGCUCCGUAGCCGUGAUUCUGGAGUCUAACUGCCCCACUCUCACCUAGUUCAGUGAUGGCCCACUGAGAGCUGCCUGAGGAAAGAGCCUGCAAGGCCUUCACCACCGGGACCUUCUCAGGAUGAGUGUUCCCAUGAUCCUCGUGGCAAGGAGCCUAUGGGAUCCUCCCUAAACUGGAUACACUGGCAGUCACUCAUCUUCUUGUGAUGUGUGCUCUGUUGGUGGCAGUGGAAGGCCACCUUGCUCAGGAUGAGAGGUGGCCCUGGGGCUGCCCUCACCCCUCAACCCCACUCCACAUCAUGGGUAGAGGCUGCUUCUAAAAUGGGGUACGAGCCUCUGUCUCCGUGGAAGCUAAGGGGAAAGAAGGUGGCACAGGGAGGUUGUGGGCAGAGAAUCUACACUCCAGCCAAGUGCAUGUGAACCAGGAGGUAUGUUCCACUGCUCACCCAUUCCGGGGGCUUACUGGAACAGUGCUAGCCAUCCAGAUGAGUUGGACAGGUGCAAGGUCUCGGAUAAGUACUCCCACCUAUAGAUGAGUGUACAGGUAUGAUGGGUGCCUUGUCUAAAGACGAGGAGAGAUGAUGAAGGGCAGUUUGUUCUCACAACACAGAUAAUAUCUUGGCUGUUGCCCAACUUCCACAGAACUGCCUGAGGACUGCUAGGCAUCAGUAGCACCGGUGCUUUCCAUGUGCUGCCUCCCCUCUCACUUCCCUCUUCCAAACUGUAGAAUCUUUAUCUAAUCUGGUGUUGGGGAAAUUAUCAUGACAGGACAUCCUUCUAAAUCUCUGAUACCAAAAUUUAGGAUUUGGAGGUGAAAGCCACAAUUUGUCUUUUCAUGUCUGCUGCUGACAUGUCAUUUCCUCCAUUAAUCAUGAAGCCCCCCCCCCCCAUUUUCACCUGCCCAAGUUCAUGUGCAGUGAUAGUGGACAGCCUCCCCUGCCCCCCAGCAGACAUGGUGCCUCCUCAAAUACUUGUAUGUCUUCUUACUGCUUGGCAGCUUUCUCCGCCACGUGGGAGCUUGGCGGGCCAUUGUCAGGCUCACUCUGAAAGUGCAGGGGUACUUAAUAUCCACAGAGCAGCCUUUAAAAAAAUACACACCUCCUUGAUCUCUAGCGGAUCAAUUCUGAGAUACGUUGCAUACUGUCUCUGAAAGGGCUGGAUGCAGGUUUGAGACCUAGUUGCUAAUAGCGGUGGCUUUUCCCCCUCCCAGUUUCGUACCUGUUCACCCUGAAAUCACACCCCAAAUAAACAUCCUGUCCCCAGAACUUUGUCUCAGAAUCUGCUUUGGCAAGAACACAACUAACAUAGUGAACCAGGUACAGCUUCUUAAGCAGGAAGGAAAGGCAACCAAAUAGAAGGCCAGUGAAGAGUGGGGGUGAAGGGUGGGGGCAGGGCAUGGCUGUUGAUCUUCCGAGGGAACCUUGGUUGGGUAGAGAGGUUUUCUUUUAUCUUUUAUUUAUCUAGGGGCCAUGCAUUGUAGAUGCCCAGACUGUCCUGCCAACAUGUUCUUAUGGCACCGUCCUCGCCUCAGCCCAUGGGAAUCCUUGGGAUUCCAGGCAGAAAGAGCCACUUGCUCAGGGCCUACGACCCAAGCAGAGAGAGAAUUGUAUGGAAAAAACUCUGGGUGCCUCCCAUUACAGAGGCAACAGAAUUGAGAUAUGUCCCUCAGAAAAGAAAAAUCUUAGAUCCAUUACCCCAGUUACACACAGUACUCAUGCCAGGUCUUGUGAUGAAGAUUGGCAUUGGCAAAUGCACAUUGGCAUUGGGUUUGCUGUUAUCUUAGCCGGAAGAUUCUCUUUGAUGCCUUUUUUUCUUUUCAAAGUAGAAAAGAAGGAUAAACUUAUUAUUCAACAGAAUUCUUUUUGAGGUCACCUGAGGAAUGCCCAGAAAUCCUUCAU